rnacentral:rRNA from 1 species
AACUCACCAGGUCAGGACACGGUAAGGAUUGACGGACUGAAGGCUCUUUCUCGAUUCCGUGGAAAGUGGUGCAUGGCCGUUUUGGUUGGUGGAUCGAUCCGUCUGGUUAAUUCCGUUAACGAACGAGACCUCGGCACUCCGAAUAGCGCGGCGGACGUCGCGGCCUCCGGGCCGUCUUCCGCACGAGCUUCUUAGAGGGACCGUCCCCCGCCGGGGAAGGAGGUGCGAGGCAACGACAGGUCUGUGAUGCCCUUAGAUGUUCUGGGCCGCACGCGCAUUACACUGACGCGUCCAACGGGUGACUCCCGACCCGAAGGGGCCGGGGAAUCCGCAAGGCGCGUCGUGAUGGGGAUUGAACGUUGCAAUUGUUGUUCACGAACGAGGAAUUCCUAGUAGGCGCGGGUCAUCAACCCGCGCCGAUUACGUCCCUGCA